UCAGGAGUGGUUAAAAUAAAGGAAUGUAAAAGUCAAGUCUCUCUCUCUCUUUCAUUCUCUCUCUCUCUCUCU